rnacentral:lncRNA from 1 species
AAAUACUAUCACCAGUUUCAACUUUUCUCUAAAGAAAUAUUCAUUGUCCUACAAAUACAAUCAACAUGAUCUUCACAAUAAUCUUAUGCUGCAUGGUUGGCCAAGUAAGUCUUUUUUACAUACUUUGUACUUGAACCUUUAUUAAUAUAGAUAUAAGGAUGUUUGGUUUGACGGCAAAUGGGACAACUACCCCCACAUAAUAGGAAACAACCAUAUAAGCUUAAAAAAAGGUUAAAAAAAAGGGGGGAGGGUAAUUAUAAUAUAUUCUAUUCCCUAAUUUUUUGAACAAAAAGCUUACCAAGCAGAUGACAAAAACACAUGAUUAGAUUCAAAGUGUUGAAAAGCUAAAAACAAAUAAGUUCGCGAGUAAAAUUGUUCUGACUUUUUUUGUCGGCUAUUAAGACCGUGACAUAAAAAAUGUGAAACAGUUCAAACAGUAUUGUGAAAAUGCAAGAAUUUUAACAAUUUAACAGUAUUUUAGAUAGAGAGAAAUAGCUGAUUUGAUUCUCUGCUUUAAUUUAAAAAAAUUGGAUACUAGUUUUACAUGUUAACAUGUCUUUCAGUAUUUUGCUGCAACAACAAUGAACCCUACCACAAAACAUCACGCACACCACCAUACCGGUACUCAUCCAACGCAUGCGCAUCGUACUCACCCAACAGUGGAACAUCCUGUAUUUGAAUCGUUUGCAUUUAGAUAUGAUCCCAAUUGGUAAG